CAGCGCUGCAGCUGUACCGGAAGGGCCAGGGCGCCCAGCCAGAGCCCCACGUCACCCUAUGCCUGGGCGAGGAGCUAGGCCAGCAGGACGGCCCUGCGGACAAGCUCAUCAUCAUCCAGAUGGAGCAAGCCUUCGCCCGGAAGCUGCUGGACAUGCCCGAGGUGGAGAUGGCGUCCGUCUGCCUCCUCUCCCUGGAGCCCUCCUGUCUCUUCAGCCCAAUCUGAGGGGACCCAAGAUGCUCCAGACCCUGCCAUUGCCUCGACUUAGGGGGCCAGGGGUGGAACUUCCUGUCUUGUCCCAUGCGGGACAGGUACUUUCUGUACUUAGAAGUCAUGCCCCCAACAUGCUUCCUGUUUUGUCCGUUAUUUGGGGAGGGAUUUCCUGACUUGUGGAACAAGAUGGGGCAGGAUAUCGCGUCUCACCUGUUUCGUUGAGGUGGGAGGGACUUCCUCUUUUGCUCACUGUCCAGGGAAGGGACUUCCUGGGGUUGGAGACCACACUCGAACACACUUCCUGACUUGGUGUAUUCUCAGGGAAGCAGUUCCUGGAGGACUGGAACCUGUUGGAGGCUGGCCUUCCUGUCAUGUCCAUUGUGUAAGGGUGGGACUUCCUGUCUUGCCUCAUGUAGAGCUGGGAGGGACCACCAGGGAUUUGAAUUGUGUAAGGGUGGGACUUUCUGGCUUGACCAGUGCGUAGGGGGUGGGACAUCCUGUUUUGCACAUUGUUCGGGAGGGAGCUCCUGGCAUUUCGAAUGUGUAGUGGUAGGACUUCCUAUUGUACAGAGGCGGGAUAUCCUGUCUUGGCCCUGGUAGUGCCGGAACGUCCUGUAGUGAACGUUGUAGAGGCAAGACCUCCUAGUUUUAUGUCCCUCUCUCCAGGGUAGAAGGAAGCUUCUUCUCCAAUUUGUAGAAACUUUUAUAUGCCAAAGGCCCUCCUGACCUCCGGCAAGAUUGUGUCUGGCCCCCGCCCCUUGCAGCCACAGCUAGGACCUUAAGCUCAGGUCCCUUUGCACUUUAUCCCUAACUGCAAGAAACUUUAUGAACCAUGUCUUGUGUUUUUAAAUAAAGUUUUAUUUGACCUA